ensembl:lncRNA
AGCAGCCUGGGCAGGGCUGGGCAGGGCUUGCAGCGUUUGGCUCUCCCCAAAAGGGCUCAGCACUUCACUUGAGUCAGGACCCUCUGCAGAGGCAGGGAGCUCUGAGUCUGCACCUGGCAGGUAACUCUCAGCUGUGGCAUCUGUGAGGAAGGAAGGAGGGAGCUCUCUGUCCCGGUGAGGAUUUCUGAGUGGGCGACAAGACCUGUGGGUGUGGGGAGCAAAGAUGCAAACUCAGGUCUGGUCUUAGCCUCAGGGAUUGAGAGUUUCCAAGAAAGCAGCCCAUGGCCCCUUAAGAACUUCUAGGAUUGGGAAGGGAUGGAGGCUAUUCGGGGAGGUUCCAGAAUGCCCAGAAGCCCAUCACUUUCCAUUUGCAUUUUCUUGACUCAGAAAGGACAGAGAGCAAGGAUGAGAGGAAGGGAAAGGAUGGUGCAGCCAGUGACUUGUGCAUCUCCUUUCCCCUUAGGGGACAAUGGCCAGAUUCUGCUUCCUGCUGUUCGUCUCUGUGGCCACCAGAGGGUGGAGUGCAGCAGUGCUCCAGGCUCCUGAGAUGUUCCAGGUGGGCAAAACCUGUGCCUCCUCCCUUUCUUUCCUGCCUAGAAGCUGCAAGGAACUCAAAGAAAGUUGCAAUAGAGCAGGUGGACUCACUGAGAAAAUAUACCAAAAUGCACACCUUUGUGGAAGUGUCGUUCAACUUAGCUACCUAGACUUGGCCAACAUUUCUUCUCGUGACAGGCCCAGGGAAUUCCAAUCACAGCCGUGAGUUACAUAGUGUCGAUUUUUCUUCAUUGGAAUCAGAUGUGUGACUUUGCACGACCUCCAGCCCCUUUUGCAAAGCAUGUUAGUCUUCUAGCACCCAAAAGUGAUCUUGGUAAUUACAUAAUCUCUGCAAGACUUUCUGGAUAUAUCAUAAUACAUUUGUGAAAGAGAGAGAGAAAAGUGCUAUUUUAAACAACAGUUGAGCAACAAUUAAAGAAUUACUCAAGAAUCAAGCGUAACGUGCUAUGAACGGGGAGGCCUGUGAAUUUUGAAACUGCAGAAUUUGUUCCAAAUUGGAAAGAGAAAACCAGGGAGGCAGCAGAUAUCUACAGGGGUGCCCUUGCAUCUCUGCAGUAAGGGAUACCAUACAACUGAGGAGAAGAAAAGCAGGAACAAUAGCCAACAAUGGUGCAAAUUAAACUGGCAAUAGAACAGGAAGAAAAGACAGCCUUCGGAGUGGCUUGGACCACAGAGUGAAUUUUCAGCUGGAAACUUAAAGAGAUCUCCUGUGGAAUACUUCCCACCCCAGCUACGGAAAGCCGGGGAGACUCCACAGUGGCAGCAGAGCCUAGUGGAAAUUAAGAACAGAUUGUUUAAUAUAUAUAUAUAUAUACAUACAUAUAUAUAUGUGUGUAUACACACACACACACACACACACACAUAUGUAUGUAAACCCCAGCACACCCAGACUGAAAGUGAAAAAGAAACAGUGUUCUAUAAAGAGUGUUCCUUACCCACUCUGGGCACCAAAUCAUGACUGUGGUCAUCAUUGGGCACCAUUGGCCCAGAUAUUUGACUGUAACAAUGACGCAUGAGUUCUUUUUGAAGACAAUAGAGGAGUUAGCUGUGAAUCAUGGAGUGCUCAUUUUGGAAUAAGAACUAGUAGAUGAUUUAUUGUACAGUUAAAUCAGUCAUGAAUGCCAUAUUUUUCAUGUCCUCUGUAAUACAGAAUUAAUUUAAAGAGAGGACUUUUUGAUAAACGUGCAGGACUCUCUAACAUAGGCCACACUGGCCUCAAGAAGGAUUAGCUCCAGAAACUGGAAACCUGCUAAAAACCCAUACAGGACCCUCUCCCUCCCAGGUCUCUGCUCUGACAGCUGCCUCCUUCCCCCUUCUCUCCAUGGAGCAGCCUCCUCUGCUCCCAGCCUGCAAGGUGGAAUAUGACUGCCCAUUGCUUCCCAGCUUAACAGGUCCAGCAACAUGAGGGGAAUAAGUGUCUCUCAGUUCCUGCUCUAAAUCUCCAGAGAAUGGACUACCUCAACUUGGGUCAAAUUCUCAUCCCUAAAUGAAAGUAACUAUGGCUUUAUGGAAAGCGUAGAGUUAUUUUUUACUUGCAUGGCUGCUGGGAGCCCACCUCAUGAAUCGAGAGGGGGCAGCUAAGAAA